CGUGAGUGCUGGAAGUUGUGAUGCCGGAACUAUGGCGAAUGCGUGUCCUUCUGUUUCCAACUCCGAGAGAAAUGUUGAGUAAGAACAAAGCAUCGUGGUGGAUCGUGGUUGAGGAGUGGUGGACUUUGACUGGUUGUCGGAGGAGAAAGCGAAGGUGGUGUUGAUGGUUCACGAGACGGGAGAAGUACAAUUUGUUGUGAAUUCCACGUAUAGUUGUAGGUAUUCUUAGCUCCAUCAUGCAAGAUUUUGCGAUCAUACUCCCAUGGUCUUCCAAGUAUAAGGUGACUUAUUUCCAUUGGCGCCACAUCGCAAUACAUACGGUCCUUGUAAAUUGGUCCAACCGAGAAAGAAACCAAAGCUCGAUGCAUGAUGCGUACGUUUACUCCCUCCGAUAACCAUCCCAAUGCGUAUGGUG
rnacentral:lncRNA from 1 species